CNNAAAANNNCNCAUUGGGAUCUGCCAGACGAGGGUGGUCGGCAAGCCANCCCUCCGGGAACCUGACCGCCAGCGUUUACUUAUGUUUUACAAUUAAUUGAUACGUGUAAUUAUUUUGUCCCACAUUGAAAGUGCUACAGUAAUUUUUGCACAAAUUCCCAUAUAAAUAGCCUUGGGAAAUGUGAUGUAAUCAUUAACUUUUGAAUCUAAUACAAACUUGAACUUUUGUUCAUUUCGAGUUAAUUGAGUUCUUCUCUUUUAAUUCAACCAAGUAAUCCGGUUAGGUUUGCUUGUGCGUUCGGAGACGGUUAGUCUUGCAAAUAGCCUAAAGUCGGGUCUAGGUAACCAGUCCUAGGUUCGCCACCAAAUCGGGUCUAAUUAACCAGUCUUAGGUUCCUAUCGGCAAGAAGUUGAAGAUUCUUCUCGCGCGAUCCUCGCGAAGGACUUGUUGACGUAAAGCACGGUUCACGCACUUGGGGCGUCGGGUCGCGACCUGCGCAGCUAAGUUNGGAGAACCAAUCUUCUUUAUGCGUUAUUCAUUCCUUUCUUCCAAUUUCGGGAA
rnacentral:rRNA from 1 species